AUAAUAUAUUUUCUUAUGUUUCUAUUUAGUGUUCUGUCCACAGCCUCCUCACUGGUCUCGCUUUUUUGAAGAGUGGUGCUCAGCACUGGACAACAGUUGCUGGACCCAAAUAACCUGGAAAAUCAGCUUUUCUUCUUGGGAACAGCUGCUGCUGGUGAAGCUUUUGCAGGAUGCAGACUGUGAAAUCUGGGGCCAUUUUGUAUUUCCCUGUUGUUCCAGCUCAGGAGCAAGCUCCAGUCGAGUUCCUUGCACUUCUUGGACCAGGUAGUCUGUCAUCAGCCCAGGUGCCACACAGAUGGACUUCGAGGAGCAGGGAAGCAACCUUUGAGAGCUGGUUCACUUGCACAGCUGGCAAUAAAAGGCUGUGUGUCAGAAAGCAUUAUGGACCUGAUAAGACCCUGUGACUUG
rnacentral:lncRNA from 1 species